GCAAGUCGAACGAGUUCUCGUUGAUGAUUGGUGCUUGCACCGAGAUUCAACAUGGAACGAGUGGCGGACGGGUGAGUAACACGUGGGUAACCUGCCCUUAAGUGGGGGAUAACAUUUGGAAACAGAUGCUAAUACCGCAUAGAUCCAAGAACCGCAUGGUUCUUGGCUGAAAGAUGGCGUAAGCUAUCGCUUUUGGAUGGACCCGCGGCGUAUUAGCUAGUUGGUGAGGUAACGGCUCACCAAGGCGAUGAUACGUAGCCGAACUGAGAGGUUGAUCGGCCACAUUGGGACUGAGACACGGCCCAAACUCCUACGGGAGGCAGCAGUAGGGAAUCUUCCACAAUGGACGCAAGUCUGAUGGAGCAACGCCGCGUGAGUGAAGAAGGCUUUCGGGUCGUAAAACUCUGUUGUUGGAGAAGAAUGGUCGGCAGAGUAACUGUUGCCGGCGUGACGGUAUCCAACCAGAAAGCCACGGCUAACUACGUGCCAGCAGCCGCGGUAAUACGUAGGUGGCAAGCGUUAUCCGGAUUUAUUGGGCGUAAAGCGAGCGCAGGCGGUUUUUUAAGUCUGAUGUGAAAGCCCUCGGCUUAACCGAGGAAGCGCAUCGGAAACUGGGAAACUUGAGUGCAGAAGAGGACAGUGGAACUCCAUGUGUAGCGGUGAAAUGCGUAGAUAUAUGGAAGAACACCAGUGGCGAAGGCGGCUGUCUGGUCUGUAACUGACGCUGAGGCUCGAAAGCAUGGGUAGCGAACAGGAUUAGAUACCCUGGUAGUCCAUGCCGUANACGAUGAAUGCUAGGUGUUGGGAGGGUUUCCGCCCUUCAGUGCCGCAGCUAACGCAUUAAGCAUUCCGCC
rnacentral:rRNA from 1 species